rnacentral:rRNA from 1 species
GUGAGGAAUAUUGCGCAAUGGAGGCAACUCUGACGCAGCCAUGCCGCGUGCAGGAAGAAGGCGCUACGCGUUGUAAACUGCUUUUAACCGGGAAGAAACCCCAGGACGUGUCCUGGGUUGACGGUACCGGAGGAAUAAGCACCGGCUAACUUCGUGCCAGCAGCCGCGGUAAUACGAAGGGUGCAAGUGUUAUCCGGAUUCAUUGGGUUUAAAGGGUGCGUAGGCGGAGCGUUAAGUCAGUGGUGAAAUCCUGCAGCUUAACUGUAGACUUGCCAUUGAUACUGGCGCUCUUGAGUGCGCUUGAAGUGGGCGGAAUGUGCCGUGUAGCGGUGAAAUGCUUAGAUAUGGCACAGAACACCAAUUGCGAAGGCAGCUCACUAAGGCGAUACUGACGCUGAGGCACGAAAGCGUGGGGAUCGAACAGGAUUAGAUACCCGAGUAGUCC